UACAGAGGUCUCAAGCGUUGUUCGGAUUCAUUGGGCGUAAAGGGUGUGUAGGUGGCGCCGUAAGUCGGGUGUGAAAUUUCGGAGCUUAACUCCGAAACUGCAUUUGAUACUGCGGUGCUUGAGGACUGGAGAGGAGACUGGAAUUCACGGUGUAGCAGUGAAAUGCGUAGAUAUCGUGAGGAAGACCAGUGGCGAAGGCGGAUCUCUGGACAGUUACUGACACUGAGGCACGAAGGCCAGGGGAGCAAACGGG
rnacentral:rRNA from 1 species